rnacentral:rRNA from 1 species
AAACUUUCAGCAAUGGAUGU